rnacentral:rRNA from 1 species
AUGCUCCACCUCCGGCAGCGCGUCCUCUCUCAUCUCCUCUCCGCGGCACCAACUCCCUCUACCUCUCCACUCCUCCGGCACCGCCUCCUCUCCGCCGCCGCGCCCGCCAUUUCCCCGAAUCCUAGCUUCGCCGUCGAGGAGUACCUCGUCGCCACCUGCGGCCUCACCCGUGCGCAGGCACUCAAGGCCUCCUCCAAGCUCUCCCACCUCAAGUCCUCCGCCAACCCCGACGCCGUGCUCGCCUUCCUCGCCGGCCUCGGCCUCUCCGGCGCUGAUGUCGCGGCCGUCGUCGCCAAGGACCCGCAGUUCCUCUGCGCCGGCGUGGAGAGAACCCUGUCCCCCAUCGUCGACGGGCUCACCGGCCUCGGACUGUCGCGUUCUGAAAUCGCGCGACUCGUCUCGCUCGCCCCGGUCAAAUUCAGCCGUAGAUCCGUCGUCUCCAAGGUAGAGUAUUACCUGCCGCUCUCUGGCUCCAUCGACAACUUGCUCCGGCCCCUCAAACACGGCUCCGGCUUCCUCGGCUCCCACCUCGAGAGGGUGGUCAAGCCCAAUGUGAAGCUCCUAGCAGAGUGCGGGCUAGGUGCUUGUGAUAUUGCCAAGCUCUUCAUCCGUGAGCCAAGGAUGAUUAGCGCCAAACCAGGGCGUGUCCUGGCGAUGGUUGCGUGCGCUGAACGUUUAGGUGUGCCCCGUGGCUCUGGAAUGUUCAGGCAAGCGCUGCACACCAUCUCAUGCUUCAGCGAGGACAAGAUCGCUGCCAAACUGGACUACUUGAAGAAGACACUUAGGUGGUCAGAUGGCGAGGUCCGCAUUGCUGUGUCCAAGUGUCCGGUUUUGCUGAGUAGGUCAAAUGAUGUGCUGCAGCGCCUGUCAGAGUUCCUUAUCUCUGAGGCGGGGUUGGAGCCGGCCUACAUUGCACAUCGCCCUGCUAUGCUCACUUACAGCCUGGAGGGACGGCUUAGGCCCCGCUACUAUGUUGUGAAAUUUCUUAAGGAGAGUGGAUUGCUAAAUCAUGACAGAGACUACUAUAGUAUGGUGGUGGUCAGCGAGAAGGAAUUUGUGGAGAAGUUCAUAUGCCCUCACAAGCAAGCUGCACCACACCUUGCUGAAGACUAUGCAGCUGCUUGCACAGGGCAGGUGCCUGCUACAUUCAGAUUUACAUGA